AGAAGGUAAAGGGAGAAGGGUGAGGUCUAUAUUGGAAAAUAUGAUUCAGGAUCAAGAAAUCAAAGUGCACAAAGGACUGUGGAUUACUCAGGAUGUGCAAGAUGAGUACAGAAGGUACCAUAUGCAGCAAGCACUGAACUGCACGAGACAAUUGAAACUGCAUCAUAAUGGACAUGAUGUCCACAUUCACAGAUGUAGCAGGCAUCUCAUGAUCACAGAUGCAGUGAUGUUGGAUCAUGGAAACAUCAAGGAUGAAAAUAAACAUAAAGUUAGAAGAAAGGACACAGGUCAGAUAAAAAGAGGAAAAUCUUAAUUACAUGAAAAGGCAGAAAGGCUGCUGUUGUUGAAUGAACCUGUGUCCAACAUGUUUGACUAUAAGUGAAUAAUCCAGCACAGGAUUUCCCAGCAGCCAUCACUGGAAGAGGAUUUGGAAAAUCUUUCACACUUGACCCAAGCCAGGGAUUCCCUAAAGCAGACCACUUUUUCCCAGAUCGAGACCUCUCCCCUGCCAGCUGAGAGGCCCAACAGCAAAGCCAGGAAAAUGAGGAGAUCUCUCAGCUCCCCAGUGGCCACAGUGGAAUUGACAGCCUCCAAAUUACUGCCUGAAAAGCAUAUCACAUGCCAUCUGACAACA